AUUGAACGCUGGCGGCAGGCCUAACACAUGCAAGUCGAACGAGUGGCGGACGGGUGAGUAAUGUCUGGGAAACUGCCUGAUGGAGGGUGAUAACUACUGGAAACGGUAGCUAAUACCGCAUACCAUCGGAUGUGCCCCGAUGGGAUUAGCUAGUAGGUGGGGUAACGGCUCACCUAGGCGACGCUCCCUAGCUGGUCUGAGAGGAUGACCAGCCACACUGGAACUGAGACACGGUCGAGACUGCUACGAGAGGCAGCAGUGGGUAAUAUUGCACAAUGGACGCAAGCCUGAUGCAGCCAUGCCGCUGGUAUGAAGAAGGCAUUCGGGUUGUAAAGUACUGUCAGCGGGGAGGCGUUACCCGCAGAAGAAGCAACGGCUAACUCCGUGCCAGCAGCCGCGGUAAUAC
rnacentral:rRNA from 1 species